rnacentral:tRNA from 1 species
CAAAAAAUAGUUUAUUAGAAUAUUAAUUUUGGGAAUUAAAGGUGUAUUAAAAAUGUAUUUUUUUGA